GCUUCUGGGUCGGGGUUUCGUACGUAG
rnacentral:piRNA from 6 species